rnacentral:rRNA from 1 species
UACAGAGGUCCCAAGCGUUGUUCGGAUUCACUGGGCGUAAAGGGUGCGUAGGUGGCGAGGUAAGUCGGGUGUGAAAGCCCCGGGCUCAACCUGGGAAUUGCAUUCGAGACUGCGUAGCUAGGGUGCGGAAGAGGGAAGCGGAAUUUCCGGUGUAGCGGUGAAAUGCGUAGAUAUCGGAAGGAACACCAGUGGCGAAAGCGGCUUCCUGGUCCAGCACCGACGUUCAGGCACGAAAGCGUGGGGAGCAAACAGG